rnacentral:antisense_RNA from 1 species
GAGCCCAGGAGGUGGAGCUUGCAGUGAGCCGAGAUCGCACCACUGCACUGCAGCCUGGGCGACAGAGUGAGACUCUGUCUCAAAAAAGAAAGAAAAAAAAAAAGAUAAAAUUACCAGAAAAUAUUAAACAGGCAGCACUGAGAAGUGAAGGAAUAUUUGGGAGGAUCAGAAGCUUGGUCCUGAUUUUGCCAUCAACAGGAACUUGAUGACUUCAAGGGAGUCCCCAAACCCUGGGUUUCUGUUUUCUCAACUCUAACAUGAGGGGCUAGAUGCAUCUGGUUUAGUUAGUCUCCAUGAUGGUUUAGUUCGUCUCCAUGAUCCUGUGAAUUUCAGAUGUUGAAAAUCUUUGGAAAAGCCCUGAAAGAUGAACAGUGGUCUCAAAUAGUCAAGACCCCCUGCUGGGAGGAGCUAUCCUGCUCUUUGGAA